UACAGAGGUCCCAAGCGUUGUUCGGAUUCACUGGGCGUAAAGGGUGCGUAGGUGGCCAGGUAAGUCGGAUGUGAAAGCUCGGAGCUCAACUCCGAAAUGGCAUUGGAAACUGCCUGGCUCGAGGGUUGGAGGGGGGACUGGAAUACUUGGUGUAGCAGUGAAAUGCGUAGAUAUCAAGUGGAACACCAGUGGCGAAGGCGAGUCCCUAGACAACUCCUGACACUGAGGCACGAAAGCUAGGGGAGCAAACGGG
rnacentral:rRNA from 1 species